UACCAUUCAAGGCAGCUCUGGAGAACACAUAUCUGCAGUGGCCGAAGGAUACAACACCACUUCACCCCGUGGCCGGAUUCUCCUAUGUGUCACCAAGCUUGGCCCGGGUGAUGAAAAGAUCCAAAUUGUGAAGGGAUCCGUUACCAUCUGGAUCAGCCCGUGCCUACUGCCCAGAGCUUUGUGCCUCCUGAUACACAUCUCUGCUGCUGUAUAACACCUCGGCUCGCCUAUAACAUCCUCUCUAUAAUAUCUUAAUGCUGC